GACGAACGCUGGCGGCGUGCUUAACACAUGCAAGUCGAACGGAAAGGCCCCUUUUGGGGUACUCGAGUGGCGAACGGGUGAGUAACACGUGAGUAACCUUCCCUUGACUUCGGGAUAACUUCAGGAAACUGGGGCUAAUACCGGAUAGGAAUCCUUGCUGCAUGGUGGGGGUUGGAAAGCUUCGGCGGUUUUGGAUGGACUCGCGGCUUAUCAGCUUGUUGGUGGGGUAGUGGAUUACCAAGGCUUUGACGGGUAGCCGGCCUGAGAGGGCGACCGGCCACACUGGGACUGGGAGACGGCCCAGACGCCUACGGGAGGCAGAAGUGGGGAAUAUUGCACAAUGGGCGGAAGCCUGAUGCAGCAACGCCGCGUGCGGGAUGACGGCCUUCGGGUUGUAAACCGCUUUCAGCAGGGGCGAAGCUUGUGGUGACGGUACCUGAAGAAGAAGCACCGGCUAACUACGUG
rnacentral:rRNA from 1 species